UGUAUAUUCAUGAUUCUUUACAUUACUUGCAUCAUUUCUUUUUACAUCACAUUUGCUCCAAAUAAACAUUACAUUCUUUUCUUUCUUUGCUUUAUACAUCAACAUCUUAAAUCAUCAAAUCCAACCUGGCCCACGUGAUGUAUAGACCCGCCACAAAUACAAAGUUCCUCUGUCCACUCGGGCAGAGUCUCCUUUGUAUUUGCACGGCGUACCAACGGAUACAACAGGAUCUCAACCACAACCUAUAUUUACCAAAUAACA
rnacentral:lncRNA from 1 species